AUGGAUUGUGUCAGAAGUGCCACUGCACCACUGAGACUAGAUUUAAGAGACCCUGCAUGUUGCUGCUUGCUGUCUCACACUUCUGCCACCACCAUAAGAUGCACACCCUCAGCCUGGCCUGCUGCUUCUGGACGGCUGAUCUCUAGCAAGUCAAUGUACAGAAGAAGAAGCCGAACUGAGAAUCAGCAAGGCCUCAAGCAGACAGCCACCCAGCUUGUGAUAAUUUGUCAUGGCAGCCCUAAGAAACUAAUAUAUCCAGCACAUCCACCUUUGACGUCAGACUCCUGUCUGAAGAUUCAUACCAAAUGCCAUCCCUUAUUCAAACUCUCCCUUCCUUGUUUCCUCCAGUGA
ensembl:lncRNA